AUGCCGCCUCGGCGCCGGGGAGGUACGGGCUACCGCGGCGUCCGCGUGCGUCCGUCCGGCACCUGCUCCGCCGAGAUUCGGUCGGGCGGCGGCAUGCGGCUCUGUCUCGGAACUUUCGACACCGCCCAGGAGGGCGCCCGCGCGUACGACGCUGCGGCGUGGCGCCUCCUGCGGUCCCGUCAGAACAUGAACUUCGCCGACGUGGCAACGCGGGAGCGCGCACAGGAGUUGGCGCCUUUCCCGCGGCUUCUCACUGACGAGGAUCAUCGCAAGCAUCGGAGGCGGGAGCAUCGUCUCAGGCUGGCCGAGAUGGACGAGCAAGCCAUGGCGCUGUGGAGUCAUCGCUUCCCAGAAGACACCAACGAGGAACAGUUCUUCACCCAGAGGAGGGCGAAGAGGAGAGAGGAGCGAGCCGACUAUUGCAAGGACAAGCGAACGCGGAAGGCCGAGAUGGACGAGCAAGCCAUGGCGCUGUGGAGUCAUCGCUUCCCGGAAGACACCAAUGAGGAACAGUUCUUCACCCAGAGGAGGGCGAAGAGGAGAGAGGAGCGAGCCGACUAUUGCGAGGACAAGCGAACGCGGAAGGCGGUCGCUAAAUACAACCAAGCGCUAGGAGAUGCGUUUUCCUGGAACUCCGACGACGAGCGGUUCCUUGACGCCUAUGCUCCGACGUCGGAGGAGGACAUCACUGAGGUAGAGUCCGAGUCGGACGAGUAG
rnacentral:rRNA from 1 species